rnacentral:tRNA from 1 species
ACUAUUUUGGCAGAAAAGUGUAUUAAGUUUAGGAUUUAAUAAUGUAAUUUAUAUUACAAAUAGUA